rnacentral:lncRNA from 13 species
UGCUAACAAUUGAUGAAUCUGUGUAAAGUAUAUACAGGAGUUCUUUGUAUUAUUCUUGCAACCCUUCUGAAAGUUUGAAAUUCUUUCAAAAAAGAUGUAUAAUCUGCAAAAACAAACAAAUCCAACUAUUUUGAAGGCACUAGAGCAUAAGCAAAAGUCAACAGCAUUGAGAGGGUCACAUUAAGUAGAAGGAGUAGAGCAAACUAGGAGAAUUCCCUGAGAGCUCACUCCAGUUCUGGGUGUCGCCUGGGAGACCGGAUUCCGCCUGAGGUUUUGCUCUUGUGGCCCAGGCUGGAAUGCAGUGGCGCGAUCUCGGCUCACUGCAAGCUCCACCUCCUGGAUUCAAGUGAUUCUCCUGCCUCAGCCUCCCGAGUAGCUGGGAUUACAGAAUCUCACUCUAUUACCUAGGCUGGAGUGUAGUGGUACUACCUUGGCUCACUGCAAACUCCACCUCCCAAGUUCAAGCAACUUUUGUGCCUCAGCCUCCUGAGAAGCUAGAAUUACAGGCAUGUGCCACCAAACCUGGUUAAUUUUUAUACUUUUAGUAGAGACAGGGUUUUGCCAUGUUGGCCAGGCUGGUCUUGAACUCCUGACGUCGUGAUCCAACCGCCUUAGCCUCCCUAAGUGCUGGGAUUACAGGUGUGAGCCACAGUGCUGGGCCAUUAAUUGGAUUUUCACUUAGUAAAUAAGAACAGAACCAUCCAUGCAGCACCCAAUCUGUGCUCCACUCCAGGCUGCCCUGAACAUCACUCUCUAAAACAUUCCCACAAUUUGACAACUAAAAGGUAAACACCUGUAUGAGUAGGAAAUUACCAUCUGGGGAAAUUAUCAUCACCAAGGCAUACGAGGACUGUCCAGCAUGACUGAGAGGGCCCU